AUUUGUUUUGAAUUAUAAUUAUAUAUGGAUACAACCAUAAAUGUCAUAUCAUUUUUUUUUUUUUUUUUUUUGGAGCUGAUAGACAUGGUUACUUAUGGAAAUGGAAUGCGUGAAUAUUCAUCAAAAAUUCUCUUUUUGUCUUCCACAGAAAAAAAGAAAAAUAACAACAGGCGAGUUUGGAGCGACAUGAGAGCCUGUCAGUCAGAGGAAGAUCUCAGGUGCACGCUGGUGUCGCCAUAUCCCACAGAGGGAUUUGUUUAGACUUCAGUCUUCAAGUAAACCUGACCUGUAUGAGUGAGCGAGCGAGAUGCUGACCGCAGGGGAAAAUUCGCACACUUAUCUCGUAUGUCUCUGCUACCAGGAACUGGAGCGUUUGGA